UACGUAGGGCGCAAGCGUUGUCCGGAAUUAUUGGGCGUAAAGAGCUCGUAGGCGGUCUGUCGCGUCGAAUGUGAAAACCCGGGGCUCAACCCCGGGCCUGCAUUCGAUACGGGCAGACUAGAGUUCGGUAGGGGAGUCUGGAAUUCCUGGUGUAGCGGUGAAAUGCGCAGAUAUCAGGAGGAACACCGGUGGCGAAGGCGGGACUCUGGGCCGAUACUGACGCUGAGGAGCGAAAGCGUGGGGAGCAAACAGG
rnacentral:rRNA from 1 species